UACGGGGGGGGCAAGCGUUGUUCGGAAUUACUGGGCGUAAAGGGCUCGUAGGUGGCCAACUAAGUCAGACGUGAAAUCCCUCGGCUUAACCGGGGAACUGCGUCUGAUACUGGAUGGCUUGAGUUCGGGAGAGGGAUGCGGAAUUCCAGGUGUAGCGGUGAAAUGCGUAGAUAUCGGAAGGAACGCCGGUGGCGAAAGCGACGUACUGGACCUCUUCUGACGCUGAGGCGCGAAAGCUAGGGGAGCAAACGGG
rnacentral:rRNA from 1 species